GAGAGAGAGAGAGAGAUAGAGAGAGAUAAGGAGAGAAAUGUUUGAUUUACUCAAAUACAAUUCAAUAUCAAAUGGAAUCCAUAUUGGAAUCUAAUGGGAAAGCCUAACAAGGAAUUUUGUUUGUGUUCAAGAAAGGGUUAGUAGGGAGAAUGAGAGAGAGAGAUAGCCAACGAUCGGGAGAGGGAGUAUGCAUGUGUGCGUGUUACUUAGUUAUGGCAAAUUUUUUAGUGCAAAACAUUAAUCGAUAGUUAAUAUGCAGACAUAUUUAUGCGUAUAUAUUUAUAUAUAGAUAUACAUAUAUGUAUGUAUAUAUAGCCAAUAUUAAACGAGUUUAUACACAGCUCUAUCUGCAUAUAUGCGUACAUAUAUACAUACAUAUGUGUGUAUAUGGUUCUACAUAUAUUGGAAUAUUCCACAUUGUAUAUUGAUAAAUUCGUGAGCGAAUCGAUCCGUUUUAUCCAAGUUCAAUCUCUAGGGGUGCUAGACUGAGUUAUAUAUAUAUAAAUAUUAUAUAAAUAUAAA